UCCCCGAGCAUCGGUAACAACAGAGGGUUUGAUCAUGGCUCAGAUUGGAACGCUGGCGGGAGCGUUACACAUGCAAGUCGAACGGCAGCACGGGACUUCGGUCUGGUGGCGAGUGGCGAACGGGUGAGUAAUGUGCUCGGAACGUGCCUAGUAGCGGGGAUACCCAUGCGAAAGGGGCAGAGCUAAUACCGCAUACGUUCUCGGGAAAGCGGGGACCUUCGGCCUCGCACCAUUAGAGCGGCCGAUGCCAUCGGAUUAGCUAGUUGGUGGGGUAACGCCCACCAAGGCGGACGAUCCGUAGCUGGUUUGAGAGGACGACCAGCCACACUGGGACUGAGACACGGCCCAGACUACGGGAGGUACAGUGGGGAAUUUUGACAAUGGGGAAACCUGAUCCGCUUGUCCCGGCGUGUGCGAUGAAGGCCUUCGGGUUGUAAAGCAGUUCUGGCAGGAAAGAAACGGCACGGGAUAGUACCCUGUGCAACUGACGGCAAUCGCAGAAUAAGCACCGGCUAAUCACGUGCCAGCAGCCGCGUAAUACGUAGGGUGCAAGCGUUAAUCGGAAUUACUGGGCGUAAAGCGCGCAGGCGGUUCGGAAAGAAAGAUGUGAAAUCCCAGAGCUUAACUGUGGAACUGGCUUUAAUCACUGAGCUAGAGUGUGUCAGAGGAGGUGACUCCGCGUAGCAGUGAAAUGCGUAGAUAUGCGGAGAACACUGAUGGCGAAGGCCUCCGGGGAUAACACUGACGCUCAUGCGCUGCAAGCGUGGGGAGCAAACAGGAUUAGAUAAUUCUGGUAGUCCACGCCCUAAACGAUGUCAACUUAGCUGUUGGGGCCUCUGCCUUGGUAGCGCAGCUAACGCGUGCUGACCGCCUGGGGAGUACGGUCGCAAAGACGAACCCGGAAAAGAAUGACGGGGACCCGGUACGGGCGGUGGAUGAUGUGGAUUAAUUCGAUGCAACGCGAAAAACCUUACCUACCCUUGACAUGUCUGGAACCCAGCAGACGGGGUAUGCCCGCAAGAGAACCGAACACAGGUGCUGCAUGGCUGUCGUCAGCGUAAGCCGUGAGAUGCUGGGUUAAGUCCCGCAACGAGCGCAACCCUUGUCAUUAGUUGCUACGAAAGGGCACUCAAUGAGACUGCCGGUGACAAACCGGAGGAAGGUGAUGACGUCAAGUCCUCAUGGCCCUUAUGGGUAGGGCUUCACACGUCAUACAAUGGUCGGGACAGAGGGUCGCCAACCCGCGAGGGGGAGCCAAUCCCAGAAACCCGAUCGUAGUCCGGAUCGCAGUCUGCAACUCGACUGCGUGAAGUCGGAAUCGUUAGUAAUCGCGGAUCAGCAUGUCGCGGUGAAUACGUUCCGGGUCUUGUACACACCGCCCGUCACACCAUGGAGAAGCUUUACCAGAAGUAGUUAGCCUAACCGGGCGAGGGCGAUUACCACGGUAGGAUUCACACUGGGGUGAAGUCGUACAAGGUAA
rnacentral:rRNA from 1 species